AUGCAUACUAACAAUGUGUUUUUAGAGUCUUGUGGCUAUAGCAAAUGUAUUUACUCUUUCCAUAGGUAUGAAAAUGGCUCCUCAAAAUGUUGCAAUGGGAAUUUUUGUCUUCUCCCAGAUUACAGUGGGAAUGCUUGGCAAUUCUUCAAUACUAUUUUAUUAUGUGAUUUUGAUGCUCUCUGGGAAGAAUUUAAUGCCCAAAGACCUAAUUAUAGAGCACUUGACAUUUGCCAACUGCUUGUCUAUCAUCUCAAGAGGUAUUCCACAGACACUAGCAGAUUAUGGAGUUAAAAAUUUCCUGGAUGACAUUGGAUGUAAAUUGAUAGUAUAUAUUUACAGAAUAACCAGGGGAAUGUCUUUGUAUGCCAUGUGCCUACUGAGUUGCUUCCAAGCAAUCACAAUCAGCCCAAAUAACUCCAGAUGGAUGAUGCUUAAACACAGAGCCAUCAAGUACAUUGGUCCUUCCUGUUCAGUCAGUUGGCUUGUGCAAGUGCUUCUAAACAUCAUGACUCCAGCAAGAGUGUCAGGCCCCAGUCACAAGAAAAAUGUGACUAACAUGAUGGGUUAUGGGUACUGCUCAUGGUUUGCAUCAGGAAAUUCUGCAACUGCACUGUAUAUGUGUUUACUGUGCUUCUCUGAUGGAUCAUGCCUGGGUCUCAUGGCCUACUCAAGUGUCUUCAUGAUGAGUAUUCUCUACAGACACAAGAAACAAGUCAAACAUAUUCACAAAAGUCAGUACUUUCUGAAACAAUCACCAGAAAACAGAGCUACCCAAACAAUCCUCAUCCUGGCGUGCACAUUUAUCAUCUCUUACUCAUUCUCUUCUAUCGUGGUUAUCUUUACAACCUACUCCAAAUAUCCAGUGCUGUGGGAAGUAAGUGUAUUUACAUUCCUAGAAAUAUGUUUUCCCAUAUUUUGUCCCUUUGUUCUUCUCAGCAAUAUGAAGCCUAUUUCCAGCCUGUUUUUACCCUGCUUUGUUAAGAGAUAG